UACGUAGGGCGCAAGCGUUGUCCGGAUUUAUUGGGCGUAAAGAGCUUGUAGGCGGUUUGUCGCGUCUGCUGUGAAAUUUCGGGGCUCAACCCCGAACUUGCAGUGGGUACGGGCAGACUAGAGUGUGGUAGGGGAGACUGGAAUUCCUGGUGUAGCGGUGAAAUGCGCAGAUAUCAGGAGGAACACCGGUGGCGAAGGCGGAUCUCUGGGCCGUAACUGACGCUGAGGAGCGAAAGCAUGGGGAGCGAACAGG
rnacentral:rRNA from 1 species